UACGGAGGGUGCAAGCGUUGUCCGGAAUCACUGGGCGUAAAGGGCGCGUAGGCGGCUCAUGAAGGCUGUGGUGAAAGUCCGGGGCUCAACCUCGGAUCGGCCGUGGCGACUCGUGGGCUGGAGCACUGUAGAGGCGUGUGGAAUUCCGGGUGUAGUGGUGAAUGCGUAGAGAUCCGGAGGACACCAGUGGCGAAGGCGACACGCUGGGCCGUACCGUGACACUGAUGCGCGACAGCUGGGGAG
rnacentral:rRNA from 1 species